rnacentral:lncRNA from 12 species
CUGUAACUCCUGUUCUAGUGAUCUUUGUAACAGCCCACCUGAGUGGAGGUGCUAAACACUCACAGGUCUCUUGGCAUCACAGAUCAAUCACCAGCUCUCUUCAAGCCAGAUUUAACGAUAAAAUCUACUUACCUUGGUCAACA